rnacentral:lncRNA from 1 species
CCGUCAUUUUCAGUAGGCAAAGUAAAAUCUGUAGGGAUAAAUCUCAAUUAUUCACUGGGAGUGACUGGUUCCUUUUUGGUUCCCUUUUCCUGAUUCCUGAGGCCAUAUUAUUCUCAUCUUAUUUCCUUGCUUUUGGAUUUGUUAGAUCCCCUCUAAUGGGUCCCUAGAGGAAUAAUAAUUGAUGAGGCAACUUUGUUUUAGUGUCUUUCCAUUCAAAGGACCUUCUGCUACGGAGGUAAAUAUACCAAGGGUCAUUUGGCAUCAUCCUAGAAUCUCCUUUACCCCUUAGGGAAUAUAUUAAAGCAAGAAAGGAGCUUCAAGUACAGCAGCUGGUUAAAGAUAAAGGUACCUCAAUAACAAUUCUUUUCUUGUUUUUCAAACAUUUGGGCCACAUAUAUCAUAGAACUUGUUAAUAAUUAUAUUCUUUUUUUGAAUUUGAAGUAUGAGCUUGCCAGCAAGGAAUAUAAGUACAGCAAAGACGCAUAAAUUAGGUGAAAAUAUCAUCUUCUCGUGAGAUUGGAUCCUCUUUGAAGUCAAAAGUCUCCAUUAUGCAGAAAAAUGACUAUUGAUAUGAAUAUAUGUAUAGUAGUGCAUGUGAUUACUGGACUCUUUGAUUCUUUUGAAACCAAUCAGAUGCAUGCAGAACUGUUUAGGAAUGUGGAUAUGAACAUCCAAGAAGAACUUAAAAGCUUGUUUAUUUUUAUUUUUUAUUUAGUUAUGAACUCGGUGUUUUUUGACAGGGUCUCUAAAAUGUACAGAUAUUAUCUCAUCGUUCUCACUUUUGAACCAUUUGAAAUUGAUUAGCAUGCAGUAGACCAACUGAAGGUAAUGUAUAGUAAAUAGCACUGAGAUGGCAAGCGAUACUUUGAAGAUCAAUCAUUGAAUUUCAAUUCCAGCUAUGAGGGCAUAACUGCAACCUGAGAAAUCCGAAGAUCAAUCUUAUCAAAUUUACUUUUACAAUUGUUGCUGGACAACGUGGUCUUCCCUUUUUUCUGUUUUUUCCAAAUUUUUUUAAAUUGAAUAUAAAAUUUCUUGGUUAUAAAUUCAUCCCUCUAUUCAUAGAUAGAUGUGGACACAGACUGGAAAAAAGAAAAGGAUUUGGAAUAUGUUUUUCCAGAGGAUUUUUAUGCAAGAGUAGGUCCUGCCUCUUUUUUUCUUUAUAUGCUUCUAUUUCUUUGGGUGAUUACCACAGUAUAUGAUGCUUUUACAUCAGGAGAAAGUAUAGAUCCAUAAGUUUUGUGAUUUUUUUGGUAAUUUCGG